AGGACUAACGCUGGCGGCGUGCCUAACACAUGCAAGUCGAACGAGAGUAGCAAUACUCUAGUGGCAGACGGGUGAGUAACACGUGGUCAACCUACCUCUUAGUGGGGGAUAACUAGCCGAAAGGUUAGCUAAUACCGCAUUCGAUCUUCGAUCGGCAUCGAUUGAAGAUGAAAGGCGCAAGUCGCUAAGAGACGGGACCGCGUCCCAUUAGCUAGUUGGUAGGGUAAUGGCCUACCAAGGCGACGAUGGGUAGCUGGCUUGAGAGAGCGACCAGCCACACUGGGACUGAGACACGGCCCAGACUCCUACGGGAGGCAGCAGUGAGGAAUUUUCCGCAAUGGGCGAAAGCCUGACGGAGCGACGCCGCGUGUGGGAAGAAGGCCUUCGGGUCGUAAACCACUGUCGAAGGGGAAGAGUAUUGACGGUACCCUUGGAGGAAGCCCCGGCUAACUACGUGCCAGCAGCCGC
rnacentral:rRNA from 1 species